CUGAACUCAAGGUUACAAGAACAAUCUUUAGCUUUUUUCACUCGGAUGUUGCGGUACUCACUUCUUUAUUUCAUCUAGAGUUGAUACAUUUUACAAAUCUAGAGAUGAUAUAAUUUUUAAACUGACUUCUUUAUUUAAUUUGCAGGGACCACUCACAGAUGAUGUUUUUAACCAGUUCUGGUGAAGUACUUCUGUUUUUGGGGUCAUUUUGCAAGCAAUCUAGUUUCUGAAUUUGGUACUUCAAGUUGGUAAGCAAACAUUUUGGUAGCAAUUCAGCGUGCCAUUUUGCAAUCAGACAUUCUGGGAGUAUUUUGCAACCAGAC
rnacentral:lncRNA from 1 species